rnacentral:rRNA from 1 species
UACGGGGGAGCAAGCGUUGUUCGGAUUUACUGGGCGUAAAGGGCGCGUAGGCGGUGCGGUAAGUCACCUGUGAAAUCUCCUGGCUCAACUGGGAGCUUGCAGGCGAAACUGCCGUGCUGGAGUGUGGGAGAGGUGCGUGGAAUUCCUGGUGUAGCGGUGAAAUGCGUAGAUAUCAGGAGGAACACCUGUGGCGAAAGCGGCGCACUGGACCACAACUGACGCUGAGGCGCGAAAGCUAGGGGAGCAAACAGG